AAGGGGGUAGCAAUACAACCGGCGCACGGGUGAGUAACGCGUACACAACAUACCAUAUACUGGGGUAUAGCUUUGGGAAAACUGAAAGGUAAUCCCCCAUAACAUUGCGAGAGGGCAUCUGAUUGCAAUUAAAGUUUCGGCGGAUAUGAUUGGUGUGCGUUUGAUUAGCUAGUUGGUAGGGUAACGGCCUACCAAGGCGCCGAUCAAUAGCUGGCGUGAGAGCGCGACCAGCCACACUGGAACUGAGACACGGUCCAGACUCCUACGGGAGGCAGCAGUAGGGAAUAUUGGACAAGGAGGAAACUCUGAUCCAGCCAUGCCGCGUGAUAGAUGAAGGCCCUCUGGGUUGUAAAUAUCUUUUUAUCUGGGAAGAAACACUCCUAUUCUUAGGAACUUUGACGGUACCAGAGGAAUAAGCACCGGCUAACUCCGUGCCAGCAGCCGCGGUAAUACGGAGGGUGCAAGCGUUAUCCGGAUUCACUGGGUUUAAAGGGUGCGUAGGCGGGCUGAUAAGUCAGUGGUGAAAGCUCCGAGCUUAA
rnacentral:rRNA from 1 species